rnacentral:rRNA from 3 species
UGACAACUUUUGACGGUGGAUCUCUAGGCUCACGCAUCGAUGAAGAACGCAGCCAGCUGCGAUAAGUAGUGUGAAUUGCAGAAUUCAGUGAAUCAU